AAAACGUUAAAGUAAGUUCGGACGGGCCCCGCACAAGCAGCGGAGCGUGUGGUUUAAUUCGAUGAUACACGAAGAACCUUACCAGGGUUUGACAUGCUAGUGGUAGGGAUCCGAAAGGUGACCGACCCUCGGGGAGCUAGCACAGGCGCUGCAUGGCUGUCGUCAGCUCGUGUCGUGAGAUGUUCGGUUAAGUCCGCUAACGAGCGCAACCCUUGCUGUGUGUUACAUGUGUCACACGGGACUGCCGGUCUUAAACCGGAGGAAGGUGGGGAUGACGUCAAGUCAGCAUGGCCUUUAUGUCCUGGGCUACACACACGCUACAGUGGCCGGUACAAUAGGUUGCGAAGCCGCGAGGCGGAGCCAAUCCUCAAAGCCGGCCUCAGUUCAGAUUGCAGGCUGCAACCCGCCUGCAUGAAGAUGGAGUUGCUAGUAACCGCAGGUCAGCUAUACUGCGGUGAAUACGUUCCCGGGGCUU
rnacentral:rRNA from 1 species